AUGGUCAUUUGCAAAGUUAAGUCUAACAUACAAACAUGUAGGUCUAUUAUGGACAUGUGGGGAAUGUAUUUGUGCUUGGUAUCUGUCAGGUUCUCAAGAUAAAAGAAAGAAUAGGGUCACAAUUGAUAAAGAAAUUAUGUCCAAAAUGUUGCAAGUGAGUCAGGAAAGCUAGAGAGAGUAUAAUGCAGUAACUCAGAGCUAUAAUAUUAACUGGAGCUUCAUUACCAUUCCUGGCCUUAGAGAAACAAUUGAAAGAAGCAUGCAACUUCUGUUAUUUUCAUAGAUAAUGCAUACAUGA
rnacentral:lncRNA from 10 species